AGAGUUUGAUCCUGGCUCAGGAUGAACGCUGGCGGCGUGCCUAAUACAUGCAAGUCGAGCGAACGUCAUAGAAGCUUGCUUCUAUGACGUUAGCGGCGGACGGGUGAGUAACACGUGGGCAACCUGCCUGUAAGACUGGGAUAACUUCGGGAAACCGAAGCUAAUACCGGAUAGGAUCUUCUCCUUCAUGGGAGAUGAUUGAAAGAUGGUUUCGGCUAUCACUUACAGAUGGGCCCGCGGUGCAUUAGCUAGUUGGUGAGGUAACGGCUCACCAAGGCAACGAUGCAUAGCCGACCUGAGAGGGUGAUCGGCCACACUGGGACUGAGACACGGCCCAGACUCCUACGGGAGGCAGCAGUAGGGAAUCUUCCGCAAUGGACGAAAGUCUGACGGAGCAACGCCGCGUGAGUGAUGAAGGCUUUCGGGUCGUAAAACUCUGUUGUUAGGGAAGAACAAGUACAAGAGUAACUGCUUGUACCUUGACGGUACCUAACCAGAAAGCCACGGCUAACUACGUGCCAGCAGCCGCGGUAAUACGUAGGUGGCAAGCGUUAUCCGGAAUUAUUGGGCGUAAAGCGCGCGCAGGCGGUUUCUUAAGUCUGAUGUGAAAGCCCACGGGCUCAACCGUGG
rnacentral:rRNA from 1 species